ACUCCACCAGCACAGAAAUCAGGAGUUAAGAUCUAUGUAUUGUGAAGCAGCUUUAUUUCCUUCAGACCUUCCAUAGGAGCAUCAUUCAGAAUAAAGCUCCUUCUGUUGGUGUUGUGGUUUCCUGUGCCUAAGUCCCCCAUUUCUUCAUUACACCGGCUGUAUAGGCAUUAGCCUUCUCUAACAGCCUUUCUGCACCAUGUCAUUCAGUAAUGGCUAGUAAUGCAAAGAGAUCUGGAAAAUCUGCUCACUGCGGACCCUGUAAGAGUUCCUGGUUUUCAGACUACACAAAGCAUUAAUGGUCUCCUAAGGAUGGAAGGAUUUCAUUGCAGAUGCUCCCAUGGAAAUUGUUAUCACUUUUCUAAUCUAAUUGUUCUUCCCUACAGUCUUGUACACAGACUUUUUCAGCAAGCACUAGGAUCAACUGAGCAUUUGGUAUACAGCUCAUUUUGCCCAUGCAAGUUAUGCAUUUCACCAAUUGGACAAGGCUAUUUCUCAACUCAGAGAAUCCAAUGUUUCAUCAGGUGCACCUGA
rnacentral:lncRNA from 1 species